rnacentral:rRNA from 1 species
ACGGGAGGCAGCAGUGAGGAAUAUUGGUCAAUGGGCGGAAGCCUGAACCAGCCAAGUCGCGUGAAGGAUGAAGGUAUUAUGUAUUGUAAACUUCUUUAGCUGUGGAGCAAUAAUCGCCAUGCAUGGUGAGAUGAGAGUACACAGAGAAUAAGGAUCGGCUAACUCCGUGCCAGCAGCCGCGGUAAUACGGAGGAUCCGAGCGUUAUCCGGAUUUAUUGGGUUUAAAGGGUGCGCAGGCGGCUUUCUAAGUCAGUGGUUAAAUAGCGGUGCUCAACGCCGUCCUGCCAUUGAUACUGGAGAGCUUGAUUGCGGUCGAGGUUUGCGGAAUUCGUCGUGUAGCGGUGAAAUGCAUAGAUAUGACGAAGAACACCGAUUGCGUAGGCAGCAGACCAGGCCGUAAAUGACGCUCAUGCACGAAAGUGCGGGGAUCGAACAGGAUUAAUACCCUGGUA